rnacentral:rRNA from 1 species
UACGGAGGGGGCUAGCGUUGUUCGGAAUUACUGGGCGUAAAGCGCGCGUAGGCGGACCUGCAAGUCGGGGGUGAAAGCCCGAGGCUCAACCUCGGAACUGCCUUCGAUACUGCGGGUCUCGAGUCCGGGAGAGGUGAGUGGAAUUCCUAGUGUAGAGGUGAAAUUCGUAGAUAUUAGGAAGAACACCAGUGGCGAAGGCGGCUCACUGGCCCGGUACUGACGCUGAGGCGCGACAGCGUGGGGAGCUAACAGG